rnacentral:rRNA from 1 species
GAUGAACGCUGGCGGCGUGCCUAAUACAUGCAAGUCGAGCGAACGGACGAGAAGCUUGCUUCUCUGAUGUUAGCGGCGGACGGGUGAGUAACACGUGGAUAACCUACCUAUAAGACUGGGAUAACUUCGGGAAACCGGAGCUAAUACUGGAUAAUAUUUUGAACCGCAUGGUUCAAAAGUAAAAGACGGUCUUGCUGUCACUUAUAGAUGGAUCCGCGCUGCAUUAGCUAGUUGGUAAGGUAACGGCUUACCAAGGCAACGAUGCAUAGCCGACCUGAGAGGGUGAUCGGCCACACUGGAACUGAGACACGGUCCAGACUACUACGGGAGGCAGCAGUAGGGAAUCUUCCGCAAUAGGCGAAGGCCUGACGGAGCAACGCCGCGUGGGUGAUGAAGGUCUUCGGAUCGUAAAACUCUGUUAUUGGGGAAGAACAUAUGUGUAAGUAACUGUGCACAUCUUGACGGUACCUAAUCAGAAAGCCACGGCUAACUACGUG